rnacentral:rRNA from 1 species
GACGAACGCUGGCGGCGUGCUUAACACAUGCAAGUCGAACGGUAAGGCCCUUCGGGGUACACGAGUGGCGAACGGGUGAGUAACACGUGGGUGAUCUGCCCUGCACUUCGGGAUAAGCGUGGGAAACUGGGUCUAAUACCGGAUAGGACCACUGCCUGCAUGGGGGGUGGUGGAAAGCUUUUGCGGUUUUGGAUGGGCCCUCGGCCUAUCAGCUUGGUAGUGGGGUGAUGGCCUACCAAGGCGACGACGGGUAGCCGGCCUGAGAGGGUGACCGGCCACACUGGGACUGAGAUACGGCCCAGACUCCUACGGGAGGCAGCAGUGGGGAAUAUUGCACAAUGGGCGCAAGCCUGAUGCAGCGACGCCGCGUGAGGGAUGACGGCCUUCGGGUUGUAAACCUCUUUCAGCACCGACGAAGCGCAAGUGACGGUAGGUGCAGAAGAAGGACCGGCCAACUACGUGCCAGCCGCCGCCGUAA